CCCAGCCCCCAAUAUCCCCUCACAACAGCCAGGCCCUCAGUUCCCAUGCGAGGAAAUACAGUCCCUGCAGGGAGCUGUUCAUUCCUCUCAGGGUCUGAAAGUGUCAGGAGGACCCCAGAGCCCUGCGCCCGGCGCUGCAUAGACACAGAGGACGGGACACUCUGACUCCUGCCACGGGAGCCCUGGGGCGAGUCAAUCCGAUCACUGACAGCAGGAGCGUGUGUCUCUUAUAAAGCGGGGCAUGCAAAUGAGGGAGACAGUUUCCUGGUUAAAUCUCUGCCUCCCGCUGCCCAGGCUGCACCCGGAGACACAAUCCGCAGCCCCCUGGGUCUGUGCAGUCACCAGCCAGUCCCCUGAGAACUUCCCCCUCCAGCACCCGGGAAAAUGGGAUUUUUGCUCCUUGUCAUUGUCGCUGUAGCAGCUUUGGAAGGUGUCCGGUCCCAGACGCUGGUGGAGUCCGGAGGGGGUGUGAAGAAGCCCGGAGACUCUCUCCGCCUCUCCUGCAAAGCCUCCGGGUUCACCUUCAGCAGCUACUGGAUGAGCUGGGUCCGCCAGGCUCCCGGGAAGGGACUGGAAUGGGUCGCUUAUAUAAAAUACGAUGGGAGUAGUACAUACUACCUCGAUGCAGUGAAAGGGCGAUUCACCAUCUCCAGGGAUAACGCCAAGAGUGAGCUGUAUCUGCAAAUGACCGGCCUGAAGCCCGAGGACACCGCCCGCUAUUACUGUGCGAGAGACACAGUGACACCAAACCGGUUUGUGAUCGUACAAAAACCCAGGCUGCGGAAUCGCCCUUCUCCCGGCGGCCGCGCGGGGGCAGCAGCGACACCCCCCGCUUCGGGCUCGGGCAGGAGACCCGGCACCCGGGGGAACGGGACACAAACCUCCCGCCAGUUUAACCCUUCCGUUCCCGGGCAAUGUGUCUCCCCUUCCUGCCCAGAGCCCCGCUGAGUGCAGAGAUCCCUCGCUUCAUCUGUGAACCCCAAUCCGGAGUGAGUCCUGUUCUGAGUCGCUCUCCCCUCGCAGACCCGGUACUUGGCUCCCGCGGGGCCCGUCUCGGUGUCAGACUCACAGGCCAGCGUCUGUCAGUGUAAAGGGGACAAGCGCGUUGGGGUUUGCAUCAGACCCAACGGGUGGAGAGAAUUGCUCUGGGGGCCAAAUCCUCCGCCAGUGUAAAGUCACCGCAACUGCUUUCACAAGACUCGAGUUAUUCCUGAUUUACACCAGGGAGGCUCUGGCCCUUUCAGCAAACUGGGAUGUUUAUCCCAUUAAUGCAGCGGAAGGUGAUUAUUUCGUUAUAACCGAUGUGAGGCCCCCAGGGCCAGUGCAAGGAUAUUUUGUGCCCUGGGCGAAACU